GGAUGGACUCUCAAUAUCGGGCCAGUAGGUGGCCCGGCCUAGCAGAUUUUACAGAAGUAGCAGACUCCAACGAGCAAGAAAAGCAACCCUGGCUGGAACUUGGGCCUGUGUUCCAAAUGAACUUAGCAGGCCUAAAUUGAUCAUGUAUGGUAAAAAAAGAGAGGAAACAUUAGUACAUGUCAACAUUAGCUACAAAAAUAAAUAGUGACAUAUAAGUAAAAGAUGUAGAAAGUCAUAGUAGGGUUUUUAAUUUUUAGUUUUUGUUAAUCCUAUGAAGAUUAGUUAAGGUCGAUGACCAAAGGCUUAGGAUGAACCAUGUCUCAUUUAUGAAAUACCCCUAUGGACACCUGACACUUCACAGCUCAUGAGGGUAUCAUGGACCCCGAGCAGUGCUUGUGCUAGGGAGAGGUAUCUCAGUCACAAGACCGGGCUCACACCCAAAUACCCCUAAUCAUUGAAUCUUUACUCCUCCUUAAAGGCUUAGACACAAAUGAAUGUCAACAUAGCUCAACCAAUGUAGCCAAACAAAUACAACAGGUUCAUCCACAUAGGAAAAUACUAAUCAAACAAUCAUAUUUGGCCUUGCAGCUAUUACAGAAGCACCAAUCAAUAGACAACUAAAGACUUAACACCCUGUUAGGCUUGAUAAUCUCUUGGAAGAACACAACAUUACAAGGACAAGUUACUACAAAAGGCUCAUUAGUGGAAACUAAGGCCUUAGUGUUAAUUCCAAAUAUCAUACCAUGCACAACAACUUGUGAGGAUCAAUAAUAGAACACAGUCAAGGAGAGGUCACGCACAAAGAAAGCUGAUUGCAUGCUAUUAGUAAAUAGGACCUAUUUCCAUCUACUUCAAGUUCAGAGAUGCCUCAUUAAGUGAUCUAAUUAUCAAUGAGUGACAGGGAAGGACAUAUGCAUAUUUCAUAAAUUUUAUUGAAGAUUCAACAUUGCAAGAUCUUUAAAUAGGUUCAUAACACUCAGAACAUGUCACCAGGCAUUUCAAUAAUCUUUAGAACAGUCCAAAGCAAACAUACAUAUAACUGAGACCUAGUUCACUAAAUACUUUAACUAAUAGACUUGAUCAGACUUCCUAAAGAUAACAUCAACCAACAGAGACAUCAACAUGAAUAGAAGAGUUGGUUUUUGUCUUGUUUAGACCUAAUAGCAUGAUACCUAGGUGUUGUCCAUCAGGUUUUCAGAUUAUUAAAUCCAAACAACUCUAGAUUCAUGAUUAAGUUCUUUAUAGAUAGUGAUAUUAACCAGACAUGAGAUGGUAAGUAGGGAUGUUCAUUCUUAGUAGGUGAGAACAUGGUAAACAGGUCAUAGAAAGUUUGCUCAAACAUGUGAGUGAUUCUACUAGCAGGUUACACCAACAUACAUCCCAUUUUAGAUCCUAUGUUCAACAUCAUUCACUCAAAUUAUUAGGUUAUUAAGGUAGACAUUAUUCGAUCCGACAAGAGAAGAUUUCAAUAGGGAGCAUAGUAGUUUAAACAUGAAACUUUCUCAACUUAAGGGCAUAUGAAGGUUCAUGAACAUCACUGGACUUGCAGAAGCAACAUGAUAAAUAAAAGCACAAAAAUAGAGGUCAAUAAGAGUCAUUCAACCAACCAACAGAAAAGGUUUCAGGUAGCUACUACUGUAGAGUUCAUAGUCAUAAGGUAGCUAGUGAUGACAAGUCUGGUCAAAACACAGCAAGUCGACAUGUUUAGUGAUAGCUAUGCUAAAAUGUUCACCACAUGAUUUCAAACUACAGUGAUAGAAAUACAUGAAUCACUAAAUGUUCAAAACAGACAUGGCAUUAAUAACAGGUUUGUCAGCUAAGGUCAUCAAAGCAGACAUAUCAAAUAUAAGACAUGGGAUGCUAGGAGAACCAUACAUUCGACGAACAUAAGGCAACAUAACUUCAUAGGCAUGAAAGUCAAGUUAACCUAUUACUGGAGAUGUGAAAUCUUAACAAGAUAUCACGAAGAGUUCAAGAACAUGAUUCAAUUGACUUAGCUGAUAUGAUAGUUUUUUAUAUGACUAUUACUUUAGCUGGCAGAGGUGGCUUACACAUAACAACAAUAUACAGUUUUAGCUCAGCUAAUCAUAAAGGCUUAAUAAGAUUUUUUCAUAAGGAAAACAGUAGUGCCGAAUCUUUUUUUUCUAGCUAAGUUAUGAGAGAUGGAACUCAUUAACAACAUAAAUUGACUAGCAAUAUAAAACAACCUAACUUAUUAGGAAAUUAUCAACUCAAUCAGCGAAAAUGGCAUGCAAAAGCAGAACAUAACAAAUAUAGCCAUAUACCACUGAUGCAUAUCAUAAACAAAAGGUGAUUAAUAUGAAAAACAACAUAAACACAAAAUUGCACAAUUAAUUAAAAGAUAGAGAGAGGGUCAGUGUACACUGACCUUCUGUAGAGAAGCAAACCAAGUAGGAGUAAUUAAUAGUCGUUCAGGGAUCCAAAACCAACAACGGUCAACUCACAAAGGUUGAACUCGAUUAGAAAUGAAAGGAAUAAAAAAGAAAUUAGAGAAGCACUACUGGAACUUUAAACUCAACAAAGAGUUUAUAUUCUCAAUGCCUUUCUUUUCUUUCAAUGUAUUUUUCGGUGUAUGUUAGGAGAACAUUUAAGGCCCUAUUUAUAGUGGCUUUCAAGCCUUAGGGUUCCGAUAACAGAUAAUGAUAUCAAGAAGGGGGAAAAUUAGAAGAAAACAGAGGGAAAAAUAGUGAUGAUUUUACCUAGGCACGAGGAGGUUGACCGUUGAAGCCAUCAGACCAUCAAUCAAACCCUAAUAUCCAGAGGUCACUACGUUUGACCUCUAGAUAACGAAUAAUAAUGAUGAAGCUGAAGAUAAUGGUCAUGCAUGCUUCGAUUCGACGGAAUAGAGAAAGGACAAUGAUAUACCCAUGUAUCAAUAUGUUUAGGGUUUCUGAGGAUUUGGUGUUUGAAUCAAAGUGAUGAAAGAGGAAGGUUUCAUGCGGGAUUCGCGGCUUGCAUGGACAAAAUGGAUGUUUCAGGGUUUGAUUCGAGUGGCCUUGCACAAAUUUGUGCAAGGUUUUUGGAUUGAUGGGUUUGUGGUUUGAGAGAAAAUGGAGAGAAAGGGAAAACUAGGGCGGCUACGUGGUGAUAGAAUAAUUAGGGUUAGGGGUUCUCUUAGGUUUAAAGUGAGGGACAAAAUCUGAG
rnacentral:lncRNA from 1 species